rnacentral:misc_RNA from 1 species
CUGCCAUUCAGAAGCUCAGGUGCCAUCCAUGGAAGUGUUCCCCGCACACCACCUGAGAUAAGCGUUUGACAUUUCACCUUGGACAGGCCCAGAUCACCAACCUUGCAUAUUGGGCGGUGAGGAUCUCGAAGAUUAACAAGUAAAUUGUCACUUUUCAAGUCGAAGUGUACUAUGUUCUUUCCAUGCAAGUAUUCCAUCCCAAAGGCCACAUCCAUGGCAAUCAAUAGACGCUUACGCUUGUCAAGAC